AAAAAGAUAAGCUAAAAAAGCUACUAGGUUCAUACCCUGGCUAUAGAGGUUAUAAUCCCCUUCUUUUUA
rnacentral:tRNA from 1 species